AUUAUAUUCUGGUAUGGAGGGGGCAUUAUAUUCUGGUAUGGAGGGGGGCAUUAUAUUCUGGUAUGGAGGGAGCAUUAUAUUCUGGUAUGGAGGGGACCAUUAUAUUCUGGUAUGGAGGGGGUAUUAUAUUCUGGUAUGAGGGGGGAAUUAUAUUCUGGUAUGGAGGGGAGCAUUAUAUUCUGGUAUGGAGGUGGUAUUAUAUUCUGGUAUGGAGGGGGCAUUAUAUUCUGGUAUGGAGGGGGCAUUAUAUUCUGGUAUGGAGGGGGCAUUAUAUUCCGGUAUGGAGGGGGGUAUUAUAUUCCGGUAUGGAGGGGGCAUUAUAUUCUGGUAUGGAGGGGGCAUUAUAUUCUGGUAUGGAGGUUGUAUUAUAUUCUGGUAUGGAGAGGGUAUUAUAUUCUGGUAGGGAGGGGGCAUUAUAUUCUGGUAUGGAGGGGGCAUUAUAUUCUGGUAGGGAGGGGGCAUUAUAUUCUGGUAUGGAGGGGGGGCAUUAUAUUCUGGUAUGGAGGGGGCAUUAUAUUCUGGUAUGGAGGGGGGGCAUUAUAUUCUGGUAUGGAGGGGGGGCAUUAUAUUCUGGUAUGGAGGGAGCAUUAUAUUCUGGUAUGGAGGGGACCAUUAUAUUCUGGUAUGGAGGGGGCAUUAUAUUAUGGUAUGGAGGGGGCAUUAUAUUCUGGUAUGGAGGGGGUAUUAUAUUCUGGUAUGGAGGAGUAUUAUAUUCUGGUAUGGAGGGGGUAUUAUAUUCUGGUAUGGAGGGGGUAUUAUAUUCUGGUAUGGAGGGGGCAUUAUAUUCUGGUAUGGAGGGAGCAUUAUAUUCUGGUAUGGAGGGGGCAUUAUAUUCUGGUAUGGAGGGAGC
rnacentral:lncRNA from 1 species